rnacentral:tmRNA from 1 species
GCUUACAGACCAUUUCUGCCCGCUGUCAAAACCGGUCAACCCCAUGGUUUGCGGGUACAAAGAUAUGGAUAUUAAUUGACAAUUCGAAGAAUCGAUGGAGUCAAUUAGGACUUAUCAACCCACUUUUUCCCGGAAAGGGGGCUUAACAACCUUCGCUUCGAUAUCUUUGUUGCGGAUACGGUGGUGCGGAUAAAUCGGAGAUAGUCUGAGACAAGCCUCGGGUCUUGGAUGAAACUUAGAGGAUAAGCUGUAGAUUGGUGGCUCCGGUCUUGUCUGCGGUCGAAAAUUAAGGCGGAGAUAAGCAUGUAGAAAGCUGAUUAGUUCCUCGUUUGGACGAGGGUUCGACUCCCUCCAACUCCACCC